ACCCAGCUGACGAGUCCGAAACAGGACAAAACUCGCUUCCUAGAU
rfam:Schistosoma curassoni strain Dakar, Senegal genome assembly, scaffold: SCTD_contig0001501